rfam:Clostridium sp. CAG:307 genomic scaffold, scf32
AAAAAAAUCAAAUAUAUGCCGAAGAAAGUAGGCGUGCAUUUGGCACUUAAUUUCUACCGAGGUAUAGUAAAAGAAACUAAAGUCUUUUCUAUGCAGGUAGGAGAGACUUUUAAUUAUUAUUA